AACGAACGCUGGCGGCAUGCCUAACACAUGCAAGUCGAACGAGACCUUCGGGUCUAGUGGCGCACGGGUGCGUAACGCGUGGGAACCUGCCCUUAGGUUCGGAAUAACUCCCCGAAAGGGGUGCUAAUACCGGAUAAUGUCUUCGGACCAAAGAUUUAUCGCCUUUGGAUGGGCCCGCGUUGGAUUCGCUAGUUAGUAGGGUAAAAGCCUACCAAGGCGACGAUCCAUAGCUGGUCUGAGAGGAUGAUCAGCCACACUGGGACUGAGACACGGCCCAGACUCCUACGGGAGGCAGCAGUGGGGAAUAUUGGACAAUGGGCGAAAGCCUGAUCCAGCAAUGCCGCGUGAGUGAUGAAGGCCUUAGGGUUGUAAAGCUCUUUUACCCGGGAUGAUAAUGACAGUACCGGGAGAAUAAGCUCCGGCUAACUCCGUG
rnacentral:rRNA from 1 species